GCAUGUAGGGAGAACUCUAGAAUUAGUGCACAUAGGUUGUGUAGGCAUGUCUAGAAGUGUACAAGUAUAAAUAGGGGGUACCACCCCUCCCAUGUAAGAAGGGGAACUAAGCAUGAGUUGCUAUCCUAGCAUAGGUUGCUGGGGUAAGCAUGUGGUCCUAGCAUAGGUUGCUAGGACAAGCAUCGGUUGCUCAGUUCUGUAGCCAUUCGUUGCCAAGUAUUGUUCAGCAUCCGGGGAAACUACAAUCCGCAACUAGUUGCGUGUGCACCCCAUUUCUUUGGGAAACUACAAUCCGCAACCAGCAUCCAUUGCUACAAGAGCUAACAGAAGAAGAACACAUCCGUUGCUACACCCCAUUUCUCCUCUGUAGUUUUAGUCCUUCAUUUUCUGCUUUUACUCAAGAGAGAGAACAGAGGGAAGAGAGAACAGAGAGGGAGCACUAACAAUAUAUCCGCCCCUGGAAGUCCUGAGCUGCUUUUUAGAAACGGUCUGAGAAUUUAAAACACAUGGGGUUGUGCAUCUCCAAGAUACAGGGCCUGUUUGGUUUAUGCCCCCAGCUCACCUUACCAAAAUAUUGGUCAUGCCAAAUCUCCUCUCACUUGUUUGGUGUGUUGCCAAUUUUUUGGCUGCCCAUGGGACCACUGCUGCUGCUCUCACAGAUUCUAGCCAAAAUUUUGGCCAACCCACGGCGGCAGAAAUCUGCGCCAAAAAGUUGGCUUGCCAAUUUUUGUAGGGCUGCUGUGGGCAUCAUCAAAACGUACCCACAAAACCACGCACGCCUAAGGAUCGCAAGAUACCUUUCCCAACGCGGAGUGGAGCACACAGUUUAAUGCCUAUACUAAGCAACAACGCAACAAUAGAAACUGUAGAAAUUAUAUUGAUUUAACUGCAAGAGCUCAAUAACCUGAAGCACAUGAUCAACCCGACCAUCAGGUGAACCUGUCAACCUUUCCAUCAUCAUGGAACCAUAUGAUCUCUCUUCCUCCUUGGUACUCUCACCGUCCUCUGAAUAAUAAUAAAUGAUCAGAACGCUGCUUGUUUGUGGCUUGGAACGUGUAAAAGCUAAUAAACACCGAUAUAUCAGUACCUUCCGCGUCAUGUUUGCCCAUUGAUAGGAAAGCAGCUACAGCUUUAACCUAAACAGAACAAACAUACAACUCCUUAAGCAAGAGCCAUGCCAGCAGUUCUUUAUCGUUCACAUGUAUCGGAGGUUAAUGUAUCAAACCCCACCCAGAUUCAUGUUACUGUUUCUAAAGUGUAUGUGUUAUAUUCACAUGAGCAUUUCAGAAUAAAGAGCAAACCUUCAGUGACUUGAA